AAGUCGUAACAAGGUUUCCGUAGGUGAACCUGCGGAAGGAUCAUUAUCACGUAUCCACGUAUAGACCAAUCCGUGAACUGUUUUCACUCACCUCUGAGCUAUGGCCGCUGUUAUUGGACACAUGAGUUCAUUGUAUGAUUAUGUGACUCGUCCUUUGACAAUUAAGGCUGUCUCUUCGGAGCGUAUUAAUCAUACUUUUUUAACAUUAACCACUUGAACACAAUAUAAUUUUCUUUGUUUGAACUGAUUUGUUUCUUACUCAGCGCGCGUAACACCGCGCCGAGAAGAAAUCGAUUUACGAAACAAAAAAGAACAACUCUUAGCAACGGAUAUCUUGGUUCUC
rnacentral:misc_RNA from 1 species